rnacentral:misc_RNA from 1 species
GCAAAGCGCAGCCCGACUUGAACGGAGCUCUUUUUGUUUUUAAUAAAACAAAAAAGCGGGAGUGGAAGGCGGAAAAGCUG